UACAGAGGGUGCAAGCGUUGCUCGGAAUCAUUGGGCGUAAAGGGCAAGUAGGUGGUCUUAUUUGUCUCGUGUGAAAUCCUUGGGCUUAACCCAAGAAGUGCGCGAGAAACGGUGAGACUAGAGUUCUGGAGAGGGUCGUGGAAUUCCCGGUGUAGCGGUGAAAUGCGUAGAGAUCGGGAGGAACACCAGAGGCGAAGGCGGCGACCUGGACAGACGACUGACACUCAACUGCGAAAGCGUGGGGAGCAAACAGG
rnacentral:rRNA from 1 species